UAGAAAACAAAAUGGUGGUUUCACCCCCUCUUUAUCCGAAAAUCUCAUAAAUUGGGUUGCAACCACUCUGGGGUCUCUUGAAGGGUGGUAUGUACAUUAAUAAAUAAAUAAAUGAGCAGUACUCCAGAUGUGCUUCACAGCAGGCAGAAACAGAGCGUGGUUGACAGGAGCCGGGAGGAGAUGAUCAAGAAGCCUUUUCUCAUGCUGUACCAAAGAACUGGGCUUCAUGAGUAUUCCCUGGGUAGCAACCUGGAAAACUCUUCCUUAGCGGAGAAAACUGACUUCAGCCUUUUGAUACUUUUCAUGUCUGUAACACCUGCUCUUCUUAUUUGUUUUUAAUAUAUUGGCCUUUAAUUUGCUGCUUGAUUUCUGAUGCCUUGCUUUGCGUGUUUUUCUUGUGCCAUUUUACUAGGAUAUUCAUGUUUUAAACCAGGGAGAACUAACUUGGUGCUCACUAGAUGUUGUUGUACUACAGCUCCCACCAUCCAUGAACAAAGGUCAUGCUGGUUGGGGCGGAUGGGAAUUGUAGUCCAGCAACAUCUGGAGGGCACCUGGUUGGCUAACCCUGUUUUAAACAAAACAAAACAAGGUGCUUGCAAGUGUUUAGAGGAUUGGUUCAGGCUUUACUUUAUUGGGCCUUUCAGCUGGAUGGGGUGAGGAUGAGUUAUUUCAACUUUCAGCUACUGUUUUAUUUAAAUUGCAGCUCUUAAUGCCUUCUAAUGGAUGCUUUGUGAUUUCACAUUGCUGUUUUAAAAUGGUCAUUCUGAGCCUCUAUAAGGGAUCAUUAAGAAUUGAUAAGGCAGCUUAUACAUUUACAUACAAAUGAAAAUGACAUGGAUAGGGUUGCCAGGUCAGAAGCAUCCCAAACCCUGAGAUUUCGGGGGCAGGCCUUAGUGAUGUCAUGGGAGUAUGCCCUAGUGAUGUCAUAGGGGUGGGCCCUAGUGAUAUCAUAGGGGAAAACUCUGGUGAUGUCAUGGGGUGGGACCUAGUGGUGUCAUUUAGCAUGAUACAUUAAGCAUCAACCACAGUUCCUUGGAACAUACCACUCAAAAAAAAAUUUUCUGAUUGGAAAUUAACAUAGCAAUCUUAGCUAAAUGAGGGUGUUUGCAGAUACAGCUGAAGUGAUGGGAUCAUUCCUUCUCACCUGCUUAGAGAGCCUGGGUAAGGAACAUUUAAUUUAGCCUACUUGCUUCUGGCAAGAAGGGUUUAAGUGCCCUCAGGCCAGGCCAGUCACCAGAAGGCCAUUGUAGGAAGAAAGCCUAGUGGUGUGGAGAUGUUAGAUGGGAGCACUCAGGAGUAAAGAUGGAUGCUCCUGAAGGCUGCAAUUCUAAACACACUAAGGGACUAACCCCCAUAGAACUCAACAGGACUUACUUCUGAGUAUAUAUUGUUAGGAUUGUGCUGUUGUAAGGCUUGACUAGGGAUCCUCUGCAAGAUAUCCAUACCAAAGCAGAGUUGGCAACCCCCUGCAUGGAAUGCCCUGCCUGCCUUUUAAUGUGGCUGUUCCAAACUUCUUUACAGACUUGACUCUUCACUGUAGCGAGAGGUUUGAGAAAUGAGUAAGAGUUAAGAAGAUUCUCUGCUCUUUCCUGCCUACUCUGUGGGCUGCUAUAUAUUCACUUUGACAGCCAACCUAAUUCCAGUGAGUAAUAAUUGGUAGAGAGAAAACACACUUGGGAAGAACAGCAACUGAAGCCACAGUUCCCAGUAUGUGAAUUCUGUUUUACCGCUAUUGGGCAAGAAACAAACCAUUAUGCAAAUAACAAGAUUCCUCAUCAAUGGGUUUACGGGGGUUGAGCUGACCAUAUGGAACCACUGUUGUUGCUUCUAUGGAUGUAAGGGACUAAGGUCAGAGGUAAAUAAAAUGCAAAUAGAAAAAGAAAAAAGACAGUGUUGAUUUCCUAAAUGCAAUAUCAUACCAACCACAAGAUUCCUAUGAAUAAGACAGAAAGCUCAGCAUCCCACAACCAGUCAGGGUUCCUAAACAAAACUAAAAAAAAUCCUGUCAGCCAGUCAGCCAAGGUCACAGAAAUCCCCAUGCAGCACAACCUGAUCUGGGGGCUGCAGUUAGUGCAGAAGGCUGCAGCACGAUUACUGACAUGAGUGAGACCAUAUCAGCACAUAAUACCUCUGCUCUGAAAUCUGCACUGAAAUCUGCACAGUUGAUGUACUACCAGGUCAGGUUUAAGUUGUGCUUUCCAUGUUACUUGUUCUGCUCUUGUAAGAAAUUGAUCCUUUAGUGUGGCAGUACCUAUGCUUUGGAACUCCCUGCCUAUUGACAUUAGGCAGGCACUUCAUUGUAUUCAUUUUAGCACCUGCUAAAAACAGUUUUGUUUAGGCAAGCCUACCCAGGCAUGUAGACGCUAUUAUGUUUUUAAUCUGUUUUUAACUCAUUGUUGGUUUUAUUGUUUUAAAUGUUUUUAAAUACCUAUCUUAAACUGUUUUUGCCAAUAAUUUUAUUGUUUUAAUUCCUUCUAUAAACAGCUUUGAGUUUUCCCCCCAAUAAAGUGGUAUAUAAAUGUUGUAAAUAAAAUACAUAAAUAAAUUUUGGUGUCACUGUGGCCCUUCGGUCUCUUUCCUCUUUUAGGCACAAAGGAAUCUGCCUUAUACUGAGUCAGACCAUUUGGUACUAUAUAGUUCAGUACUGAUGACAUGGACUAGCAAUGGCUCUCCAGGAUUCCAGACAAUGGUUUCUUCCAGAGAUUGAAUUUUGGGCCUUUGCAUACAAAGCAUGUACCCUACCACUGAGCUACAGCCCUUCCCUUGUUUAAAAAAGUAUCUUUUAGAAUUGUUCUUUUCAAUUCACUAAUGAAUGCACAGCAUACUAGGGCAGAUCAACACCAUGCAUUUAAAGCACAUUAAACAUUUGUUUGUUUGUUUCUUUAUUUAUUAUUUUAUUUUAUUUAUAUCCUACCCUUCCUCCCAGCAGGAGCCCAGGGCGGCAAACAGAAGCGCUAAAAACACUUUAAAACAUCAUAAAAACAGACCUUAAAAUACAUUAAAACAAAAGCUUUAAAAACAUCUUUUUAAAAAGGGUUAAAAACAUUAUUUAAAAAAGACAUAUUAACAAGCAUAUUAACAUUUGAAGCACAUGAAUCCCACAACAGAAUCAUGAGAACUGAAGGGUGGUGGGAACAAUAACUGUGAGGAGGAAACUACAUUUCCCAGGAUUCUUUGGGGGAAGUCAUGCACUUUAAAUGCAAGUUGGAUGUGUGUUAUGUAUUAUGCAAUGCCAAUAUUAUGUGGAUCUACAUUACUUCAUAAACUCUGCCUGCAUAUAAAUCAUUUUAAAAUGGAAAUAAAGCUACAAAGUUUACUGGGUGACCAUGGGCUAUGCACCACCUCUCAACCUAAUCUGCCCCUCAGGGUGAAAACAACACAGGGGUCAUGAUCACCCCAAGGAAGAAGGGCACACUUAAAGUGUAGAGGAAAUAAUAAUUUGUAAUUUACAACCAUAGUGUGAAAUCAGAUACAUAUCAAGACACAAUAUGAAGAAAUAUUUAAAUAAGCAUGACUGUCAAAGAUGUUUAUCAUUUACACAACCUGUAAAGAUAUUUAUAGUGCAGUCCUAAGCAUGUUUACUCAGAAGCAAGUCCCAAUGUAUUAAAUGGAGUUUACUCAGACAGGGAAGCAUGCACAGGAUUGUAAUUCAGUUAUAAGGAACUUCACUCACCCAAUCUAAAAUUCAGAAUCAUGUCACUUUAAGCUGUUUUGCAACUGUUUUAUACUUGUUUUAUGGUUAUUGGAUUUUAAAUGGCUUUCUUUCUUGUGAGCUGCCUUGGUUUCCAAUCCUACCUCACAGGGUCAUUGGAAAUAUUCCAUAUUUCCAUCUUUUACUGGAGAUGUAAAAAUACAUACACCCCAUAUAAUAAUUUAUUGUCAAAACCCGCUGGCCAUUGCAGAACAUUUUUUUAAAAAAAAUAAGGCUUAGUUUCCUGCCAAAUAGAAGCAGUGACACCUAAGUAAGCCCUGCCUAGCUGCCUAAAAAGGAUUGGUGGGGGAGAGAAAGAUUUACAACACAAUCCUUUUCUAUGUUCACUCAAAAGCCCCAUUGAUUUUCAGUACAAUCCUGACCAUGUCUACUCAAAAAUAAGUUCUAUUGAAUUCAAUGGGGUUAACUCCAGGUAUGUGGAAUUAACAUGCCAGCGUUACUCCCAGAAAAUAUUGGGAAGGUUUUCAAAACAGGUUAUGAGUAAGACAAAUAAGCUGCUCUCUUCAAUAGUCCAGUAAAAUUAAAACUUGAGUGGUUGUCAUGAUGAUUUUCAUAGUAUGUACAUGGGAGUAUGCUGUUUUUAGGAUGUGAGGUUGAAUUAUGCGAGUGCUUUUAGAAUGUGAUUUGAGGUAAGCAUGAGUGUGUUCGUUUAGAAUGUUGAUAUGUUUAAAUACAAAUGUGCUGAUCUUGUAAGAGUAUGUUUGAGUAAACUAAACAACAUUUUCCCCCCAACUGUAGUUAGACAAAAUUCUGUUAUAAA